GAUUCUCCCUCGAGGACGGGA
rnacentral:misc_RNA from 1 species